CUCAACUCUAAGCGGCCUCAUGCUUUUGAGAAAUCUCUCAAAUUUCACCUCCAUUCUCUCUCGGCCGACUCCUCAAAGGCCCAAGGCAUUCACUCUAAAGUCACGGGCCACUCAUCGACCACCACUUUUCGGUGGCCAUACUCCGAUCUCGAUGGCUAAACAAACCAAAACUAACCCCAAAUCAAAUCUAAACAUCACUUUUCUUUAACCCUUAUCUCUUUAACCCAUGGUUGCAGCCUUCGAGAAAACAAAGCCAUCGUCGUGGCUACCGCAUCUGGGUAGCCAUCCCUACCUCCGAACGCCCAAAUCCAAAACCAGAACUUUGGGGUUUUUUUUGGUAUAAAUACAGGGAAUGGAGAGUCACAUGUUGCACUAUCCUUCAAUGAAUUCUUUUUAGCUUUCUGGGUUUUUUUAUAGAGCUUGAGAAUUUCAUUUCUGAUUCAAAGAAAGAGAAAAUGAAGGGAUUUGUUCUAUUUAUGGCCGUUGGUGUUUUCUUACUACGUGGAAGUGUUGUGAGUAAAUAGUGUACGAACAUCCCAACUCAGCUAUUGUCACAUAGUUUUCGUUACGAGCUGUUGAAAUCUAAUAACGAGACAUGGAGACAUGAGAUGUUUGCUCAUUACCACUUAAUCCCGACAGAUGACUCUGCUUGGUCUGAUUUGUUACCAAGGAAGAUUUUGAGAGGAGAAGAUGAAUUGAGCUGGUAGAUGACGUAUCAGUGCAUAAAGUUAGAUUGGAUUCUAAUUCGAUUCACUAGAGAGCACAACAAACUAACUUAGAGUACUUGAUGAUGCUUGAUGUGGAUGAUUUGGUGUGGAGUUUUGGGAAAACUACUGGUUUGCCUACUCUUGGGAAGCCAUAUGGAGGGUGGGAGGCACGCGAUGUUGAGCUCCGGGGUCAUAUCGUCGGGCAUUACUUGAGUGCCAUGACACAGAUGUGGGAUAGCACUCACAAUGACACUCUCAAAGAGAAGAUGUCGGCAGUCGUGUAUGCCUUAUCCACUUCAGAAGAAAAUGGGGACCAGAUAUCUUUCGGCAUUUCAGUCUGAUCUUUUUGAUCAUUUCGAACCAAUAAAACCGUCUGGGCUCCAUACUACACCAUUCACAAGAUCAUGGCAGGUCUCCUGGAUCAAUAUACAUUUUCCGAUAAUGUUGAAUCUUUAGAUAUGACAAAAUGGAUGGUCAAAUACUUUUAUGGCCGUGUUCGGAAUGUUAUAACAAAGCACAGUGUGGAGAGACAUUGACAGUCACUUAACGAAGAAACCAGUGGCAUGAACAACAUCCUCUACAGAUUGUUUACCAUAACGGUGGGUAAAUUUCACUUUUGUUUUACUUACCGCAUCUCGUUUAUUUCACUUUCUUUUUUUCGAAACUCCCCUUCCCCCUAUUUGUAUGUUUGUUUGAAUGAAAAGGAAAAUGACUUUAA